UGUGAAGUUUUUGAACUCUGCUGCUUCUCGGUGAUAAACGAUAUUUUCAGAAUUAUUAGAAUGUUUCCUCUACCAGUGAAUGUUGAUCCAGACAAGGAGAAGGAGCAUACAUAUGUAAAGAUGCGAAAUACUGUUCUUUUCUUUAUAUGUUCUAUUGGGAUCAUUAAGAUUAUUCCCUAUUUUCUUGGUAAAGUCAAGUUUGAACCAUAAGUCCAUGAUGAAGCCUGCCUGAAGUUGUU